UGCGGCGUAGCGGUCGUGGAAGGCAUGGCUGCUCAGGAUGAGCUAGAUGAUUCUCUAAAUGCUAUGAUGAAAGAUCUACAGAAGCCACUUUCUUCUACAUACACAUCUGCUAUUCAGCAGAUGCUGGAUCAAAAUAUGCAAGAACUGGAGAAAAGCAUCCAUAUUAUUCAGGAAAACAUGAAUGAAGUCUCGGACAAGCUGGGAUCUUUCGAGGAUGUCCGAGACAUGCAGACAUACCACAGCAAGCUUCAG